UGGGGAAUAUUGGACAAUGGAGGGAACUCUGAUCCAGCAAUUCUGUGUGUGUGAAGAAGGUUUUAGGACUGUAAAACACUUUUAGUAGGGAAGAAAAAAAUGACGGUACCUACAGAAGAAGCAACGGCUAAAUACGUGCCAGCAGCCGCGGUAAUACGUAUGUUGCGAGCGUUAUCCGGAAUUAUUGGGCUUAAAGGGCAUCUAGGCGGUAAGACAAGUUGAAGGUGAAAACCUGUGGCUCAACCAUAGGCUUGCCUACAAAACUGUUGAACUAGAGUACUGGAAAGGUGGGUGGAGCUACACGAGUAGAGGUGAAAUUCGUAGAUAUGUGUAGGAAUGCCGAUGAUGAAGAUAACUCACUGGACAGAAACUGACGCUGAAGUGCGAAAGCUAGGGGAGCAAACAGG
rnacentral:rRNA from 1 species